CUGGAGACAGGUGCUGCAUGGCUGUCGUCAGCUCGUGUCGUGAGAUGUUGGGUUAAGUCCCGCAUCGAGCGCAACCCUUGCCUUUAGUUGCCAGCAGUUCGGCUGGGCACUCUAAAGGGACUGCCGGUGUUAAACCGGAGGAAGGUGGGGAUGACGUCAAGUCCUCAUGGCCUUUAUGACCAGGGCUACACACGUACUACAAUGGCCGAUACAAAGGGCAGCGACACUGCGAGGUGAAGCCAAUCCCGUAAAAUCGGUCUCAGUCCGGAUUGGAGUCUGCAACUCGACUCCAUGAAGUUGGAAUCGCUAGUAAUCGUGGAUCAGCAUGCCACGGUGAAUACGUUCCCGGGCCUU
rnacentral:rRNA from 1 species